GAUAUUCUUCUUCUUCUUUUGUUCAGAGGUAAUGUUGGAAACAGAGCAGGAAGGGAAGACAGCUCUUCCUAUUCCUCACCCCUUCUUUCUGAAGCUCUUCUUUUCUGCUCCCUUGACCACAGUAUGUUAGAUAUCUCCAUUUCCUGAAAGGCCAUAGGAAAAGGAUAUGUUCAAUCAAUGAUGAAGAAAGAUUAUUCUUCUCAUCAGUUCUCCAGGAUGCUGUCUUUCUUUAUUUAGGAAUGCAAGAAAAUAAAACUGUCUACUACCUUCACUUCUUCAUCAUCACCUGUAACUUCAUCAAAUAUGCACAUUGACAAUAUUGGUACAUUACAAAAAUCUAAUACAUUUUACUUGUUAAAGUGGAGCAAAUCU
rnacentral:lncRNA from 1 species